rnacentral:rRNA from 1 species
GCUUGUCUCAAAGAUUAAGCCAUGCAUGUCUCAGUAUAAGCUUGUGCAUAGUGAAACUGCGAACGGCUCAUUAUAACAGUUAUAAUUUGUUUGGUGUUCAAGUUUACAUGGGUAACUGUGGCAAUUCUAGAGCUAAUACAUGCUGUUUUGCCUGACUCUGUGGUAAGGCUGUGCUUAUUAGUACCAGAACCAACCCAGGCUCCGCCUGGCCUUGAGGUGAUUCACAAUAACCGAACGAAUCGCAUAGCUGCCGCUGGCGAUAGACCAUUCAAGUUUCUGACCUAUCAGCUAUCGUCGGUAGGGUAUUGGCCUACCGUGGCAAUGACGGGUAACGGAGAAUUAGGGUUCGAUUCCGGAGAGGGAGCCUGAGAAACGGCUACCACAUCUAAGGAAGGCAGCAGG